rnacentral:rRNA from 1 species
UACUUGUACUGAUUGAGAUUUUAACACGAAGUGAGUGGCGAACGGGUGAGUAACACGUGGGUAACCUGCCCAGAAGUAGGGGAUAACACCUGGAAACAGAUGCUAAUACCGUAUAACAGAGAAAACCGCAUGGUUUUCUUUUAAAAGAUGGCUCUGCUAUCACUUCUGGAUGGACCCGCGGCGUAUUAGCUAGUUGGUGAGGUAAAGGCUCACCAAGGCAGUGAUACGUAGCCGACCUGAGAGGGUAAUCGGCCACAUUGGGACUGAGACACGGCCCAGACUCCUACGGGAGGCAGCAGUAGGGAAUCUUCCACAAUGGACGCAAGUCUGAUGGAGCAACGCCGCGUGAGUGAAGAAGGGUUUCGGCUCGUAAAGCUCUGUUGUUAAAGAAGAACGUGGGUAAGAGUAACUGUUUACCCAGUGACGGUAUUUAACCAGAAAGCCACGGCUAACUACGUGCCAGCAGCCGCGGUAAUACGUAGGUGGCAAGCGUUAUCCGGAUUUAUUGGGCGUAAAGCGAGCGCAGGCGGUCUUUUAAGUCUAAUGUGAAAGCCUUCGGCUCAACCGAAGAAGUGCAUUGGAAACUGGGAGACUUGAGUGCAGAAGAGGACAGUGGAACUCCAUGUGUAGCGGUGAAAUGCGUAGAUAUAUGGAAGAACACCAGUGGCGAAGGCGGCUGUCUGGUCUGCAACUGACGCUGAGGCUCGAAAGCAUGGGUAGCGAACAGGAUUAGAUACCCUGGUAGUCCAUGCCGUAAACGAUGAUUACUAAGUGUUGGAGGGUUUCCGCCCUUCAGUGCUGCAGCUAACGCAUUAAGUAAUCCGCCUGGGGAGUACGACCGCAAGGUUGAAACUCAAAAGAAUUGACGGGGGCCCGCACAAGCGGUGGAGCAUGUGGUUUAAUUCGAAGCUACGCGAAGAACCUUACCAGGUCUUGACAUCUUCUGACAGUCUAAGAGAUUAGAGGUUCCCUUCGGGGACAGAAUGACAGGUGGUGCAUGGUUGUCGUCAGCUCGUGUCGUGAGAUGUUGGGUUAAGUCCCGCAACGAGCGCAACCCUUAUUACUAGUUGCCAGCAUUAAGUUGGGCACUCUAGUGAGACUGCCGGUGACAAACCGGAGGAAGGUGGGG